rnacentral:rRNA from 1 species
GAUGAACGCUAGCGGCAGGCCUAAUACAUGCAAGUCGAACGGUGUCUUCGGACAUAGUGGCGCACGGGCGCGUAACACGUAUGCAACCUACCUUACAUUGGGGGAUAGCCUUUCGAAAGGGAGAUUAAUACCGCAUAAGACAGUAGUCUGGCAUCAGACAGCUGUUAAAGAUUUAUCGAUGUAAGCUGGGCAUGCGUCCAAUUAGUUAGUUGGCGAGGUAACGGCUCACCAAGACUAUGAUUGGUAGGGGAACUGAGAGGUCAAUCCCCCACACUGGCACUGAGAUACGGGCCAGACUCCUACGGGAGGCAGCAGUAGGGAAUAUUGGGCAAUGGACGCAAGUCUGACCCAGCCAUGCCGCGUGCAGGAAGAAGGCGUUAUGCGUUGUAAACUGCUUUUAUACAGGAAGAAACGACUCUUGCGAGAGGCAUUGACGGUACUGUAUGAAUAAGCACCGGCUAACUCCGUGCCAGCCGCCGCAGUAAUAC